rnacentral:rRNA from 1 species
GACGAACGCUGGCGGCGUGCCUAAUACAUGCAAGUAGAACGCUGAAGGCGGAGCUUGCUCUUCUGGAUGAGUUGCGAACGGGUGAGUAACGCGUAGGUAACCUGCCUGGUAGCGGGGGAUAACUAUUGGAAACGAUAGCUAAUACCGCAUAAGAGUAGAUGUUGCAUGACAUUUGCUUAAAAGGUGCAAUUGCAUCACUACCAGAUGGACCUGCGUUGUAUUAGCUAGUUGGUGGGGUAACGGCUCACCAAGGCGACGAUACAUAGCCGACCUGAGAGGGGGAUCGGCGACACUGGGACUGAGACACGGCCCAGACUCCUACGGGAGGCAGCAGUAGGGAAUCGGCGGCAAUGGACGGAAGUCUGACCGAGCAACGCCGCGUGAGUGAAGAAGGUUGUCGGAUCGUAAAGCUCUGUUGUAAGAGAAGAACGAGUGUGAGAGUGGAAAGUUCACACUGUGACGGUAUCUGACCAGAAAGGGACGGCUAACUACGUG